rnacentral:rRNA from 1 species
UGGGAUAAGCUUGGGAAACUGGGUCUAAUACCGGAUAGGAACCGUCUUUAGUGUGGUGGUUGGAAAGUUUUUUCGGUGCAAGAUGAGCUCGCGGCCUAUCAGCUUGUUGGUGGGGUAAUGGCCUACCAAGGCGUCGACGGGUAGCCGGCCUGAGAGGGUGUACGGCCACAUUGGGACUGAGAUACGGCCCAG